AAUUGUCGAUUAAUCUCACUCGUAAUCGAGUAAUCGUCCAACCUGUCGAUCGAUACAGCGAUCAAAGAACGAAUAGUGCCCUAACCUAAAAAAGAGAACAACGAGAGUUACGAAGUGAAAUCGGAGAAUCACGUGGCUUGAAAGCAUUUAAUACGAUUCGAUCGAACAGAUUCACAGGAUGGGAUUCACAGUGUAGAGGUUUAUGAAUGGGACUCGCUUACGCUACCCGCGUCACUUUCAAGAUACUACGAGUUUCGCGAACAGCAUCUCUACUUCAAGAGAAUCCGUUACGCUCGAUCGACAUGCACGUUCUUCUGUUUAAAAAAUAUCACAAUGCGGAUGUUCAUGUGUCAAUUCAAAAGUCUCCUAUGCUAAAAACGAGAAUGAGGAUUCAAUUUCACGGUAAAAAAAAAAAAAAGAAAAAAACAGUCUCUUUCUCUUUUCAAAAGUGAGGUUAGAAUAUAAAGAUCCGCUUGUUAAGCCGCUAAAUAAUAAUUUUAUUGGAAACAAAUAAUUUUUGACUUCGACGAGUCUCCAACUAAUCAAAACUUGCUCAAUUAUAAAAAGCAACGCGCGCAAUUUCUCAAAAUGGAACAACCAGCAAAUUUCCCUCAAUUUUUGUCUCUACCCCCCCCCCCCCCCCCGUACUCCUGAAACCACUCUACACACGCUAACUGCCAACACUAAUAACCAACGAACGACAUACAACGCUUCAGAACCACGAUGCAUCAUCAAACUGUAGAAUCGGAUGAAAAAAAAAAAAAUUCCCCAUCCGCGUCAGUUGAAA